rnacentral:rRNA from 1 species
AACGAACGCUGGCGGCAUGCCUAACACAUGCAAGUCGAACGAAGCCUUCGGGCUUAGUGGCGCACGGGUGCGUAACGCGCGGGAAUCUGCCCUUGGGUUCGGAAUAACAGUUAGAAAUGACUGCUAAUACCGGAUGAUGUCUUCGGACCAAAGAUUUAUCGCCCAAGGAUGAGCCCGCGUAGGAGUAGGUAGUUGGUGGGGUAAUGGCCCACCAAGCCGACGAUCCUUAGCUGGUCUGAGAGGAUGAUCAGCCACACUGGGACUGAGACACGGCCCAGACUCCUACGGGAGGCAGGAGUGGGGAAUAUUGGAGAAUGGGCGAAAGCCUGAUCCAGCAAUGCCGCGUGAGUGAUGAAGGCCUUAGGGUUGUAAAGCUCUUUUACCAGGGAUGAUAAUGACAGUACGUGGAGAAUAAGCUCCGGCUAACGCCGUGCCUGCCGCCGCGGUAA